UAUUUGGGACAAUGGGGGGACAAGCCCUGAUCCAGCAAUGCCGCGUGAGUGAAGGAAGGUCCUUUCGGGGUUGUAAAGCAUCUUAUGUCAGGGGAAGGAAAGCACGCAUGCUCUAACACAGGUAUGGGAAUUGACGGUACCUGACAGAAUAAGCACCGGCUAACUACGUGCCAGCAGGCCGCGGUAAUACGUAGGGUGCGAGCGUUAAUCGGAAUUACUGGGCGUAAAAGCGUGCGCAGGCUGGUUUAUCAAGAUCAGGGCGUGAAAUCCCCGGGCUUAACCUGGGAAUGGCGCUUGUAACUGUCUGGCUAGAGGUGUGUCAAGGGGGGGGUGAAUUUCCCGUGAGCAGGUAAAUGCGAAAUUUGUGGGGAAUCCAAGUGGCAAGGAGGCCCCCUGGGAAACUCUGCGCUAGUGUCAGACUUAA
rnacentral:rRNA from 1 species